UCGCCUGUUUAUCAAAAACAUAGCCUUUAGCCUAACGAGUAUUAAAGGUCCUGCCUGCCCAGUGACUAAUUAAACGGCCGCGGUAUCCUAACCGUGCAAAGGUAGCAUAAUCACUUGUCUCUUAAUUAGAGACUAGUAUGAACGGCUAAAUGAGGGCCUAACUGUCUCCCGUAAAUAAUCAAUGAAACUGAUCUUCCAGUACAAAAGCUGAAAUACACCCAUAAGACGAGAAGACCCUAUGGAGCUUUAAACUUACUUGCUAAACAAAAAACUACUAGUCAACUUUGCCUACUUAAACUAUAAAUAUAGCAAUAAAACUUCAGUUGGGGCAACUUUGGAAAAAAAAAGAACUUCCAAGCAAUAGAACCACACGUUCAACUAAGACCUACACGUCUACGUAAUAAUUUAUUGACCCAGUCAUACUGAUCAACGAACUAAGUUACCCUAGGGAUAACAGCGCAAUCCUCUUUAAGAGUCCCUAUCGCCAAGAGGGUUUACGACCUCGAUGUUGGAUCAGGACACCCAAGUGGUGCAGCCGCUACUAAAGGUUCGUUUGUUCAACGAUUAACAGUCCUACGUGAUCUGAGUUCAGACCGGA
rnacentral:rRNA from 1 species